rnacentral:rRNA from 1 species
GAUGAACGCUGGCGGCGUGCCUAAUACAUGCAAGUCGAGCGAAUGGAUUAAGAGCUUGCUCUUAUGAAGUUAGCGGCGGACGGGUGAGUAACACGUGGGUAACCUGCCCAUAAGACUGGGAUAACUCCGGGACACCGGGGCUAAUACCGGAUAACAUUUUGAACCGCAUGGUUCGAAAUUGAAAGGCGGCUUCGGCUGUCACUUAUGGAUGGACCCGCGUCGCAUUAGCUAGUUGGUGAGGUAACGGCUCACCAAGGCAACGAUGCGUAGCCGACCUGAGAGGGUGAUCGGCCACGCGAGGACGGAGACACGGCCCAGACUCCUACGGGAGGCAGCAGUAGGGAAUCUUCCGCAAUGGACGAAAGUCUGACGGAGCAACGCCGCGUGAGUGAUGAAGGCUUUCGGGUCGUAAAACACUGUUGUUAGGGAAGAACAAGUGCUAGUUGAAUAAGCUGGCACCUUGACGGUACCUAACCAGAAAGCCACGGCUAACUACGUGCCAGCAGCCGCGGUAA